ensembl:lncRNA
AACAGAUGGGGGAAAAGCAGGCUGAGCUGAGCGAUGAGCAGUCCCGAGCCCACGGGCAAGCUGGGGCAUCGGCAUCAGCUGGAGAGCACAUGAGGUCCUUAGGCUGUUUCCCUGCAGUCUGUCUAUUGGCCUGAGAGUGACACAGCAGUGGGAGCUGUGCCUUUGCUUCCUCCGAGCUGAACUCUCUUUGAUGAAGCUGCCUGGCCCCGCGGAAGUGGCACUGGAUCUGGGAGAGACAGCUGUCAAGAGGAUCUGCGUCGGGUGCUGUCCGUUCCUCCAGCCCAUGCGGCAUGAAGGCCCGGGAGGGAAGCAGCCGUGUUUACAGCUCAGCUGGGCUGCUUUGGUCAACAAAGGAGAGAGAUGAUUGCAGAGUGAAUCUCGGCCUGUUUUCCCUGAGUUUGAUGUGGCGGGAAGUGGAGAAUCAGCCCAGGAGAGAUCAAGGAGCCAGCCUCCAGGAAAGUGGGCAUGAAUGAAAGGAAGAGAAGUUGGCUCAUGGCCUUUCGCUCCCCAGGAUUUAUCUGCUCAAGAUGCAGGUGGAUUGUUCCGAGACUUGGUGCCAGAGGAGGAGAGGAACGUCAGACGAGUCGCCUGUACGAGCCAGCUGCUACUAUGAGCCAGGAACGAACAGCUGAUCACCCAGGGAAAGCGAAAGGAGAAAUGCGCCUAAUAGAAAAGGCCCAGCGCAAGCCACAUGCAAACUUGAGCCCGUUUGACCGUUUGUCCUUCGAAAGCUCAGUCAAGGGGCUGUUUUGUUUUUCAGAUCACAGCUCUGCUGUAUUCACAGCGACACUUAGGGCUGGCUCAGCAUUUCCAUUGUAAGCUCUUGUUUUCAGGGGGCUUGCGUAUACUGGGGGGAAAAAAGUACCCAGCCCUGACCCCAUCGCUCUCAGGGAUACAGCAUGGAUGGGGAGGCCCCCCUCUCCCUGCUCUGAGAACUGGGCUGUGGGGAGGACAGCUGUGAGAUGAUCACAUCUGAUGCAUGGGAUAGGGAACCCCCUGAAAUGUGGGAUGCUAUGGGACGCUGUGCCCCUCCCCCAAACAUGGGACUCAGAUUCCUGACAUGUAGGAUCCAGGUCUCCUUGUGGAUCAAGCCCUAAGACAUUCACGUCCUGAACUUGCAAACACUUACACAUGGGUAAUUUUAUGCAAAUACAGUGAAAUCUCCGCGUUGGCACAGGGCCAGCAAAUUAAGCCCCCGUUGAAGGCUUAAGUGACAUACAGGCCUCACGCAGGCCCUCUAUGCAGGGGGGGAUUUCACCCAUUGAGUUGUCCCACUAGUUCUGUGCUAGCAGGAUCAGGCCAUCAGCUUGUUCUUUUGUGAUGGAAGCCUGGGGUCCUGCCGGUCCACCAUUACCAGGAGAUUGGCCCAUGCAAGGCCCAGCAUGCCUCUUCCACAGCCCCACCAAAGCAGGUGAUUGGGGGGACUCCAGAUGGAACCCAUGAAUGAAUGGGAUCGCACGACUGCCUCUGCGGAUUGUAUGAGGCAGAGCUCUGAGCGCCCUCUGGAAGAAGUCAGGUGUGGUGGGGGUUUUAGACAGACAGCCCUCAGGAGCAGGCUUGUGUUGAGCGGAACUUUGUUAAUCAACCAAACCCCAGAAGGGAAAAUAUAAUUUGGAAGCCCUAGGUUGGCCAGACCAAUGAUGGGGAAGGGAGUAAGCUGACCCCGUUGCAUCUCUCUCAGCAUGUGAGAGGCCAGAAUCCGAGCCCAGGUUUUUUCUAAGGAUCCCGGCCAGUCCUCUGCUCUGUGUAAUGCAGAGAGGCAGCUUAUCAGCUGGUGUGAAUCAGUGCAGCUCUAUUGAUGCACAUGCAGCUACGUGCGUUUGCACCGCUGAGUCGGCUGCUGAAUCUAUUCUAAGUGUUUUGGUUGUAAUCUUAAAAAAAGUGAGGAUUUUUUUUAUAGUCCUUGUUAUUUAAAGAUGGUUUAAAUUUAACAGUGGCCAGUAGUCAACUGACUCAUCCAUAAUUAGCAUGACAUGGUGGUGGUGUAUUUUUGGUCGUGGGAUAGAAGCAGCAGGGAAAGGCCACGUUAUUGAAGUUUCAAUCCUGAUGUUUGGUAACUUUUUCUUUUCUCCCAAUGACUUUGAAUAUACGGAUUUUACGGCUCCUCGGAGGCAGCCGGCGCAACAGAUUAGUGGGUAGUGGUUCCAAAGGAGAUGGGCUCCACAGGUCAGCGAGGGGAAAAAGGGGUGGGGGAGAGAGAAAGAGAGAGAGAUGAGGGCUGGGGGAUGUCCUCAUUUUGCUGCUGAAAGUUCAGUUCUUUAAAAAGUGCCUCGAUGGAGAUUUACACCCUGGAGUUGCCCCAGCUCGCUGGGCAGGGACAUCUCUAGCUUCAGGAAUGAGUGCGUGUCCCCCAUCAAAGCCAUGAUACCUUUGUCCCAAGUGGUCAUCUGUCUCCAGAGGGGAUGGGGUCUAAGGUUCUAUCUUGUGGGACCAGCUGAUGGGGCUGCCUUGCAGGGGGUGGAGUUAAAGGACGUGGCAUGGGUGUGUUUUGGCAGUCUUGGCAUGGUGGCUGCCAUGGCGUGAGGUUUGUGGGGGUGGCAGGUAGGGGGUCGCAGGGCUAGUGUCCUAGACUACUUGUUCUUGUGAUGGGAUGGACACGGACACACACACACACACACACUCUCUGUGCCAUAUGUGAGCUUUGAUCAAAGUUAGGGGCUAAGCCAGAGGCUUAGCUAAGCACCAAAGCCCCCCAGCUGGCUUUAGUGACACUAUCACAGGCUUCAGUAAUAACUGGAAUCAGGUCUGCGACCCAACCUGCCACGUGCCUGGAAAUUCAGAGUUGUGCCUGAAACUCCAUUUGCAAGGGGUAGGAUUCAACCCUAUGCUGAGGAUCUGCACGAGGCACCACUGUAUGGUCUUUGUCAAAAGAGCAUUUUAGGGUGCGUUUGUACAACGCCUAGCAUGAUAGAGGUCCUGGUCUGUGGUAAUAUAAAUAAUGGAUGCACCACUGAAGCCCUAGGAAAUAGAAAUCAGGUCUCUUGGUUCCUAGUCUGAGCCCUAUGGGAUGUAAUUAGUGCAAAAGCCUCAAACUGGCCUUCUGGACAGGCAAGAACCACCCCCCCCCCCCAACCCCAGUGAAGUAAGUUUGUGCCAUCCUGAGGUGCUGAACACUUGUCUCCCAUUGACUCCAGUGACAGCUGCAAGUGCUGCUCAGCUGGUCUCUGGAACGUGCGUGGGAAUUACUUCCGGUCCAGUUAACUACUGGACUGGCUCUUCGACCUAGACCUGGGGCUCAGGGCCAUCACGCCUUUCUUGUGUGGCUAAAUGGGAGGGGUCUCCUGGCUCGAUCCCAGCAGGUUGUGCAGGAGCUCUGAGGGGUCCUGGUAUAGUCAAGAUUGAGACCCACUUACCUAGAGAAUGCCAUGUGCCCUAUUGUCCUCAUUUGAUCCUAGCUUGAUCCCAAAACCAGACCAAGUGAAGGGACUCUCCUAUCUCUAUUUAAAUAAAUGCAGCUACAAAUAGAGAUGAAGUGUGAAA